AUGUCUCUUUCACCGUUUAGCUACACCCAGAAGGCUAGGAAGAAAGGAAAGGAAUCAGGAGGACCGUGGAGAGCACCGAGGAGGCCGAGUGGCUCUGUUCCUGGACAGCAGGCGGCAGAGAGACUAUACAUGACUCACGGCCAAGCAGCCCAGGAUCCCGAACACCACAGGGUCAGUGAGUGUGUCUGCCUCAGACUGGCCAAGGAGUUUGAGCAGUCACGCAACAGGCCCAAGGACACGAGGGGGAAAACCCUGCCCAUCCCUCAGUCGAUUGUGAGCGUCUACAGCCACAUUAGACAGCUGCUGGAGGACAGCAGGGUUAUCGUGGUCCAGACGGCGCUGGCUCUGGUGCCGGUGAACAACACCACGGUCUCUGCAUGGCUCCUCAAUUGCCAGCUCCUCCAGAGUGCCCAGACAAGGCAACGUGCCUGGAGGCUGAACAAAGCUGCCCAGGAGGAUGAGGAGCUAAUGGCAAGGGGGGAACCGCCACGGAAGAGGCUGGCAAAGGAGAAAUAUCACUACACCUGCAAGGGGUGUGGCCAGGACAAAAGCAAGCAAACUGGACACACCCAGCUGAAGGGGCGGUGGUACUGUCCAGAGUCAGGACAGACCCUGGAUGACUGGAGGAAGAGUGUAGUAGGCCUAUAGUCACCAUCACUUGUCUCUUU
rnacentral:lncRNA from 1 species